AACCUUACCUACUCUUGACAUCCAGAGAAUUCGCUAGAGAUAGCUUAGUGCCUUCGGGAACUCUGAGACAGGUGCUGCAUGGCUGUCGUCAGCUCGUGUUGUGAAAUGUUGGGUUAAGUCCCGCAACGAGCGCAACCCUUAUCCUUUGUUGCCAGCGAGUAAUGUCGGGAACUCAAAGGAGACUGCCGGUGAUAAACCGGAGGAAGGUGGGGAUGACGUCAAGUCAUCAUGGCCCUUACGAGUAGGGCUACACACGUGCUACAAUGGCAUAUACAAAGAGAAGCGAACUCGCGAGAGCAAGCGGACCUCAUAAAGU
rnacentral:rRNA from 1 species